UUCUAGAAAAUGAAAAUAAUGUAACGAAUAACGGAAUGAAAUAGAACAAGACGAUGUGUCGUUGUUACCAAAUUUUCCUCUCACUACAGUUGAACAAACAGAAAUGUUCAAUAACAGAUUGGAAGAUAUUAAUGUUCGGCGACAAUUUAUGAAAAAAAUGGCGCGGUUUGGCGAGGAUACCGUAGCCAAACUUGUAAAAAAUAUAAUGUUGGAAACUAUCGGAUAUGAAGUUGCGGCAGCGUACACGUGGACAGGCCAAAAAAAAAAGAUUAUCAUUCAAAACAACGAAACUGGCUGACACAAUAAUUGCAAUUAUUUUGAAGAAAAAGGAUAUUACUACAAUUAUUGAAGUGGAAAGAUGUAUUCAAGAGUGGUUGAGACGAUCCGGCGACAGAAAAAGAGGCUU